rnacentral:rRNA from 1 species
GACGAACGCUGGCGGCGUGCUUAACACAUGCAAGUCGAACGAUGAACCCGGAGCUUGCUCCGGUGGAUUAGUGGCGAACGGGUGAGUAACACGUGAGUAACCUGCCCUUGACUCUGGGAUAACUGCGGGAAACUGUAGCUAAUACCGGAUACGACCCUCGGCGGCAUCGCCAGGGGGUGGAAAGAAUGUCGGUCAAGGAUGGACUGGCGGCCUAUCAGCUAGUUGGUGAGGUAACGGCGCACCAAGGCGACGACGGGUAGCCGGCCUGGGAGGGUGACCGGCCACACUGGGACUGAGACACGGCCCAGACUCCUACGGGAGGCAGCAGUGGGGAAUAUUGCACAAUGGGCGCAAGCCUGAUGCAGCAACGCCGCGUGAGGGAUGACGGCCUUCGGGUUGUAAACCUCUUUUAGUAGGGAAGAAGCGAAAGUGACGGUACCUGCAGAAAAAGCACCGGCUAACUACGUGCCAGCCGCCGCCGUAA